rnacentral:lncRNA from 1 species
AGAACCUGAUUGAUUUGUCCCUGAUCUGAUUCAUGAAAAAUAUGAAGAAAACCUUGUGAGUGAAAAUUGGAAUCUACUUUGUGCACAUUUCCUCUUGAUUCAUGUUUUUGGAACAGAGAAUCAGGAGCCAUAUUUCCUGGGUUCAAACCUGAAAUCCACCACUUCCUUGCUGUGUGACCAGAGGUAAGCUGCUUAUUAGCCCAUCAUGCGCACCCCAGUGAGAGUUCAGGUAAUGAUAGUGUACAAUUUACGGAGUUUUGUUGGGAUAAAAAUGAAUGAAUGCAUGCAGCGGCACUUGGAAUGGAGUUUGUGACUCUGUGUGGGUUGUAUCAGUAUUUGUUAUUAUUUUUGCCACCACCCAGAGGUGGAUGUGAUGUCACACGUGGAGGGUGUGGCCCUGCAUCCACAGGUUGCAUUAUCAGCCAAGUACCAGAAGGUGCUGAGCAAGCCCCAGACCGGCCUCAGCCAACACAGGAUGGAAGGGCUAACAUAUCCCACAGCAAUGCCAGAUCCUUAAUCCACUGAGCAAGGCCAGGGAUCAAACCCACAUUCUUAUGGAUACUAGUUGGGUUCAUUUCUGCUGAGCCACAACAGGAACUCCCUAACUAAAACUUUUAGUGAUACAAUUUUUGAGAUGCUAUGAUUAUUGUAGUAAUUUAAUUUUACAGAUUUUUACUUAUAUUUGCCUAGAACUGCAAACAAUAUUACAUACUCCUCCCCAGUCAUAAUAUUUUGAAUGAUUCGCAAUUGACUAAAGGGUUAACAGUGCAAAAGUUGCAAAAGCUGUCGACAAAUUUCUUACGUGUUCUUAGCCACAGUUUUAAAGUCUUUAAAAUGAGGAUUAGUAAAAAUAUAUCCCUGCUAAGAUUGUAGUGACCGGCAAAAGAAAUAAUAGAUUAAGGCAUUUAUUCUUAUCUAUGAAUAUCUAUAAAAUUACUGAAUGUAAUUUUCAUGGUAAACUGGGACAUGCACAUUUAGGAAUGAACUGAGCAACACAAACAGGCUGACACAUCUUAUGUUCAUGUAAAACAGUCUUUUGUACAACAGUUUUUCAAGUAACUACGUGAUCCAUGGUCUUCUCAGAGAUGUUGACUAUUUAUGCCAAAGUCAGAAAAAGGGACUAAUUGAUCAAAGUAAAAUAAAAUAAAAAGCACAGGAAAUUAGCACCUGCUAAAUUCAAAGGGAAAACACCAUCUUCUGGGUCGUGUAUUUGCAAGGACUCAAGCAGAAAAAAAGUUACAUGAUAAUCUGUGAGUCUGAGUUAGUGUUGAAAAGCUCAUUAACAUUUCUUCACUGAUUUUCUCACUGGAGUUUGGUGUGUUUUUCCACUGGUACAGCCGACUUAUUCCCAUAUUCUCUUGUUCUCAACAAUCCCUGUUUAGAUUUUGCCGUUUAGUAUUUUGAAAACUGCAUAUAACAAAAAGUUGCUUGGCUUCCUAAACCAACAUCUUCCUACGAAGUAGCUUUCUGAAAUUAUACUCUUGUAAGGCAUUUUAACAUCAUGGGAGAACAUACAUCACCCAGGAGCUUGGAAACAGGUUUAAUUCUCUGCAUUCAUCAACUGAUCCAUUUUUCUUCUUCUUCUUCUUUUUUUUUUUUUUUUUCUUUUUUUGGUCUGUGCCUGUAGCAUGUGUGAGUUCCUGGGCCAGGAAUCAAACCCUAGCCACAGCAGCGACCCAAGUCCCUGUAGGGACAGCACUGGGUCCUUAACUCGAUGUGCCACAAGGGAACUCAAAAUGUUCACUCUAACCUCUUUUGAUAAAUCAGAAUUCAAGUUUCUGUCUCACUGACCUCAGAAAGUACUAAAAUGCCAUGGAAAUAACAUAUUUUCAACACAUGAACAACAUAUCCUUGGCAAAUCCUGUCCUUGUGGGCAAGCACUCUGACCAUGUAGUUCGUGUUGGGAUUCAGAAACACAGCAUUUUCACUUAAAUGUUAGUAAAAAUCAUUUUGGGAAAUAAUGGCUAUGCAAUACGUACAGCUAGCCCAUCUGUAGGUAAUGAGAAAUCACCAUUUUAGCCCCAACUUCCUCAUAAGAUGUUUGUAGGACCCAUGAUCCAAAUGAUAAGAAACAAGAUCCUUAUUCACACUCAUGGCCUUGAAAACAUCGAGUUUGGAGCAGUUCUCAGCAGACCUCUCGCCACCCUGCUCAGGCCUGUGACCUCACAGAUUUUGGAUGGCAUUGUUGGUACAAUACCAGGGCUACUCUAGGCAGAAAUGCCCACUGUUCCUCUUUCCCCUACAUUCCUCUGCCGCCCAGCAUGACCGUGUUGCCAGACAGGGAAGUUCACCUGGGGAAGGCAGGGCUGUCCCCUGAAACCUGAACACUGGAGUGACAGGUGGCAACCACGCGGUCAGUAGCUGGGUCGCUGUGGAUCCUAAGAUCCUUUGAGCCCCUGCUGAAAGGAAACCUCUCCCUGCUCCAUCUGAGCCCUGGUCCAGGUAUCUUCCCUACCCCAGCUCACCACAGGCACACUGGGCAGAACAGCAGGUCCCUUCACUGGGCUGACCUGAAAGGGUUGUACAUUCCCUCUGCUCCCCUUGGUUCACCUGAUGGAAAUCUGGAGCUGCCAAGGAGGGGUAGGUGCAAAUCCUCAGCCACUCGGAGGUAAGGAAAGAACACCUGUCCAGUGCUUAAUAAAAGCCAUCGUUCUUCUGCCUUUUCAGUCAGCUUCCUGCCCUGCAGCAGUGCUUGAAAAAUGGGAAAUAACAUAACCUAGAACUUUGUUUAAUCAUCCAACCUCCUCAGAGUAAAAAGCCUCUUUCUCUUGCAAUAAUAACAUAAUUUGCAACGAACCGGCAAAGGCCUUUCAAGGCUUUAUUUUUUAUGGGUAAUAUUAUGUGUGCCUACAGAAAAUGUUAAUACGCAAGUGCUUCUGUGGAGGUGCGUGUUUGUAAACAGUGUCAGUAGCUGGCAUCCUGAAUACCAUAGUUCCCCAUGCAGUUAUUAUCCACAUCACCUUCGCUGCGAGUGAAAUAUGCUGCACGUCAGAGACUGCCAGACUUUAUAUAGUUCUCAGUCCAGUGAAAUAAAAAAACAGCCAAAACUAAGGGUUCUGAUUCAGAGCACCAAACUCUUAUUUUACCAAAUAAAAGCCUACAUAUGCCCACCAUCUACCAUCAAACCAUUCAUCCAUUAGGUUCAACUUACCAGCAACCCCGAUUUUCUACUUAUAAUAUAGGGCUGAACAGAAAAGUAAAAUCUCUGACACAUGGAGCCAGUAAUUCUGUGAAACGUCACACCCUCAGGGAAGGAAGGGUGAGCCACAAACACAAUGCAUUUAAUUGGGUACCUUUUGUUGUAUAUGGAAAGCAUCCUGUAGCACCCUCGGUUUGUCCUUUCACUUGAGACUUCUGACGGUUUUUUAGAGAGGGGAAACAAGUGAACCUUCCUCUCCGGAUCUUCACGUGUUCAAAGUAGUAAAAAACCACCACCACACAUCUAGUGUGAUGCACUUGUGGAUUAUUCUCAUCAGCGCAUUUAAAAUGUUUACAUGUGUUGUUAUGCUGUUUAUUCUUAUAUCUCUUUUACCAUGUGUCAGAUUCUAUGUCUUUCUUUAUCAUUCCCUAAGGUAAUUUAUUCCUGGCUUACCUUUGUUUUCUCUGCCCUCAAGGGGUCACAUUUAACGUGAAUGAUCUGAAUGUUUGCUCCACAGAUGGGAAGCAUUAGAUGAGUGGAUGGCGCCACUGAGUAUCUUUCCAGGGUUUUUGAAGCUAGUUACCAGGCAGACAUCACCAACCGGUCUGCCCAAUGUGUCAGAUGUUUGGAGGGUAGUACUGAAACCUAUUUAGUGAUAAAACUUCUCAAUGUAUGCUUUUCAGAUGAAGUGCAGUUCUUAGAAGUAACUGACAUUUAAUUGUCAUUGGUUUUAUACUGUAGGUUUGUAUUUGUAGAGCUGAAAACAGCUCAUCCCAAAUUGUGCUUUCUCUCCAAUUUUAAUUACUUUCAAUUCACCUUAUUAAUCCCCAAAGGGCAAAUAUUACCUAAAUUCCGAAACUGUGGACCUUUGUGCUCCAGGUCCAGGUCCUGCUCUCUGUGCCAGGGGCCUGCUGGUGCCUCCCACCCCCAGUGCUCUGCCCAGAGAAAGUGCCUUGCUGUCAGUGCUGUCUUUACACUCGUCCACUUGUACAUGUGUGUGGGGUGAGUGACAGCCACUCCCUUCUUUCCCCGGACUCUGUAGACAUGACAUGUCUGCCAGUGAUAAAUAUGGAUCCUGCUACAGUGUAUGUCUGUGACGUUCUGUCAGUUCCUCACCUUUGGAAAUGUUUAAAAGUUGGAUGAACAACCAUGACUAGAUACAAAAAUGAAAAAAGAUCUAUAAAAUAUAUAUCAGCCAAAUUCAAUUGCUGCUUUUAGGCAGCAAUAUUAGGGUCCCCCUACAUACUUACAUACUUUCUCUUCUCCUUUACUCCGUUGCCUGUGAUUUAUUAUUUCCGGUUUCCGGUGUAACCUGGCAAUCUAGAACCGCACACCAUUGUUUUGUAUCCCCUCACAUCUGACGUGCUUCUAUGCUCUCAUCUGUAGGCAUUAGUUUUGGACCUGUGUUAGGAUAAUUAUUUCACAAACAUAACAAAAUUUGAAAAUUUUGCUGCUGGCCAAAGUGGAAGCAUAUCCCAGAAAGAAGGUAUAUUAUAUCUUUCAAAUCUCAGAAAAUCUCUUCAGAAUCUUUUCUUCAUGAGCAUGUAUGCAUUUGUGUAUUUCUUUGUUGUGAGGACUAAAGAGACUCACUCUACCUAUGCAUCAGGGAAGGUGAUAGAGAAAGAGAAGAAAUCAGUUUGCAACUGGUUCUUCCAUAGAAUAUCAAUGUGACCCUAAGCAUCUUAUUUCAUCCCAUGGUGUCUCAGAUUCAUCAUGCAUUAAUUGUCUGAGGUGGACAGUAAAAGCUCUAACUGAUUAAGAUCUGUGGUUUUAUGGUAGUAGUUGGGGAAAAUAGUGACAUACUGAAAAAUAGUUUUGUCUGACAUAACAGCAGCAGCAUGGAACAUUAAAGUUAGCUCUCUGGUCCAUCACCUUCCUCAAAAAACUCCCAAUUAAGUGUGUUUGGACUUUUUUACUGAUAUUUUUGGCUCCAGGGUUGCAGCCCAGUGGCAGCUGUGCAGUACAUGUUAAUUCGUGUUCUAAUCAACAGUAUGCAUGUAAAUUCAUAGUCUUUCUCAUCUAUGAGUUUCUCCUUCAUCUCGAGAUAUUUGACAUCAGUAACUAUAGCAAUGUGAGUAUUACCAACACCAAUGAACACAAAACAUUAAAUUGCACCUCAUCAGAGACUUUAUAAAAUUCAGUAUUUCCUUUGUGCCUCCCUUAUACAGCACUUCCCUGUUUUGUACAUGUUUAGAAAUCUCUCUUUCACCAACAUACUAUUAUUUUAUUUUGUUUUUUUCAGAUUCCCACUGGUGUUUCUACUGGUAGGGACUAGGAAUCCCUCCCGCAAACCAAGAAGUACCCUAAAGCCUUAGGAAGCAGGGUGGUGGUCUGCCUGCCGCGGGAUUGGCUGUCCCCUCAGCCCUCAGCUGUUUCUGUGCCAUUUCCCCUGGGAGGGCUCAGUGCCAAAUGCUCACACUGCACAGGGCGAACGCUGAUGCAUUUGCACUUUAUCCCAGUCUCCCAGCUUCUUUAUCUCAGGUGUGGAAAUCUGUGCUUCAGUGCCCACUGUGGAUACUUUGGUUUAUGUCUUACAAUCCAUUUUUGGAGGGGGAGGCGAUUAGCAACAUAUCCCUGACAAAUGGUUGAGGUUUAUUAGGCACACAGAGAUUGGCUAACACCUGGGAUCAAAAGACAGACUGCCUUGUUUUGAAAGCUGCUUCUUCCACAGAAUGGCUGGGCGAUUUUAAAGCAUGAUUACCUAGCUUGAAUACUCAGAUAAUAAGAAUAACCCUUCCAUAGAUUGUUGUCAGAAUUCAGUGACUUAAUCCCUGAUCAGCCCUUAAAACACUGCUUAAUAUAUGCCAAAUGCUUGGUGUUGUCAGUUGUCUCUGUUAUUGGCAUCUAUUAACAUAGUUAUUGUUUUCUAAAGAAUUACACCAGCUCUGGAAUGCCUUUCUCUAGGGUUUCUAUUCAUCUUCUUAAUCGUGGCCUUGCUUUCUUCAUACAGAACCAAAUGCUACCAUAAGAAUUCUUAUCCUAGGUAUUAAACCUGGAGAACUUUCUUGCACUCAGCCAUUUUGAAAUUACCAUAAAGAUUCAUGAAUAACAAGAACUUCUUUUAAGUGGAAUCUCUAAUAUCCUUUCAGCAGUGUUCCUAUUGUUUUAGGUAUUUUUUUUUUAUUUUUAUUUUUCCCAAAUCAGAGUCCUAGUAUUGUACUUAGUUUUGUGACUUUGGGCAAGAUAACUUAGUAUUUCCUUUUCAGUUUGCUGGGAAUAACAUACAACUGUAUAUCACUGGUCUCCAUGAAAAUUAAAUAACUUUAUGCAUGUGUUUAUCACAGUACAUGUCAU